GUCUACAGCCAUGCCACCCUGAACAAGCCCAAUGUCUGGUCUCGGAAGCUAAGCAGGGUUGGGCCUGGUUAGUACUUGGAUGGGAGUCCACAUAGGAAGACCAAGUGCUGUAUGAA
rfam:Pteropus alecto contig42679, whole genome shotgun sequence.